UCCGGCUUACACCGGCGGUCUCCUAUGAGUCCCCGACUUUACUCGCUGGUAACAUAGGACGAGGGUUGCGCUCGUUGGCGGACUUAACCGUACACCUCACGGCACGAGCUGACGACAGCCAUGCAACAAGUGUCUUCAGGUCUUCCUUGUGGGAAGAGGCUCUACUUUCAUAGAGUUGCCAUCGAUGUCAAACCUGGGUAAGGUUCUUCGGUUAGUAUCGAAUUAAUCCACAUGCUCCACCGCUUGUGCGGGUCCCCGUCAAUUCAUUUGAGUUUCAACCUUGCGGCCGUACUCCCCAGGCGGGAUACUUAAUGCGUUUGCGACGGCACUAGAGGGGUCGAUACCUCUAACGCCUAGUAUCCAUCGUUUAGGGCGUGGACUAC
rnacentral:misc_RNA from 1 species